AAUUACUGGGCGUAAAGCGAGCGUAGGUGGCUUGAUAAGUCAGAUGUGAAAUCCCCGGGCUUAACUGGGAACUGCAUCUGAUACUGUUAAGCUAGAGUAGGUGAGAGGGAAGUAGAAUUCCAGGUGUAGCGGUGAAAUGCGUAGAGAUCUGGAGGAAUACCGAUGGCGAAGGCAGCUUCCUGGCAUCAUACUGACACUGAGGCUCGAAAGCGUGGGUAGCAAACAGGAUUAGAUACCCUGGUAGUCCACGCCGUAAACGAUGUCUACUAGUCGUUGGGUCCCUUGAGGACUUAGUGACGCAGCUAACGCAAUAAGUAGACCGCCUGGGGAGUACGGCCGCAAGGUUAAAACUCAAAUGAAUUGNCGGGGGCCCGCACNAGCGGUGGAGCAUGUGGUUUANUUCGAUGCAACGCGAAGAACCUUACCUGGUCUUGACAUACACAGAAUCUUGUAGAGAUACGAGAGUGCCUUCGGGAAUUGUGAUACAGGUGCUGCAUGGCUGUCGUCAGCUNGUGUCGUGAGAUGUUGGGUUAAGUCCCGCAACGAGCGCAACCCUUGUCCUUAGUUACCAGCGGGUUAAGCCGGGAACUCUAAGGAUACUGCCAGUGACAAACUGGAGGAAGGCGGGGACGACGUCAAGUCAUCAUGGCCCUUACGACCAGGGCUACACACGUGCUACAAUGGUAGGUACAGAGGGCAGCUACACAGCGAUGUGAUGCGAAUCUCAAAAAGCCUAUCGUAGUCCAGAUUGGAGUCUGCAACUCGACUCCAUGAAGUAGGAAUCGCUAGUAAUCGCGGAUCAGAAUGCCGCGGUGAAUACGUUCCCGGGCCUUGUACACACCGCCCGUCACACCAUGGGAGUUGAUUGCACCAGAAGUGGUUAG
rnacentral:rRNA from 1 species